rnacentral:rRNA from 1 species
GGAGCGUUCUAUAGUAGGGUAAAGUAGAAAUGUAAAUUUCUGUGGACGAAAUAGAAGUGAGAAUGUUGGCUUGAGUAACGAAAACACUGGUGAGAAUCCAGUGCCCCGAAAACCUAAGGGUUCCUUUACAAGGCUCGUCCGUGAAGGUUAAGUCAGGUCCUAAGGUCAGGUCGAAAGACGUAGCCGAUGGAAAACAGGUUAAUAUUCCUGUACUUUUUUUAUGUUAUGACAAGGGACGAAGGAUGAAGACGUAGGUCUAGAUAAUGGAAUUCUGGUAAAAAUCUUCAAAGCAAUGAGAAUAUGAAGAAAAACAUAUUUAAGCUAAGAGAUGAUUUAAUUUUAUUUCUUUUUAUCUAAUAAAAAGAAAUAAAAUUCAACGACCUUUAUUCUUCCAAGAAAAGCUUGAAUCAUUUAUACAUAAGAAAAUCUGUACCCGAAACUGGCACAAGUAGGUAGGUAUAUUAUACUAAGGGGCUCGAGAGACUUCUCUCUAAGGAACUCGGCAAAAUGACUCCGUAACUUCGGGAUAAGGAGUGCCUCUUUUUAAGAAGAGGUUGCAGUGAAUAGGCCCAGGCGACUGUUUACCAAAAACACAGGUCUCCGCAAAAUCGUAAGGUGAUGUAUGGGGGCUGACGCCUGCCCAGUGCCGGAAGGUGAAAGAAGUUGGUGAAAGCUGACGACUGAAGUCCCGGUGAACGGCGGCCGUAACAAUGACGGUCCUAAGGUAGCGAAA